rnacentral:rRNA from 1 species
CGGACGGGUGAGUAACGCGUGGGUAACCUGCCUCAUACAGGGGGAUAACAGUUGGAAACGACCGCUAAUACCGCAUAAGCGCACAGGAUCGCAUGAUCCGGUGUGAAAAACUCCGGUGGUAUGAGAUGGACCCGCGUCUGAUUAGCCAGUUGGCAGGGUAACGGCCUACCAAAGCGACGAUCAGUAGCCGACCUGAGAGGGUGACCGGCCACAUUGGGACUGAGACACGGCCCAA